ACAUUUUUUCGUAUAUCCUUAAUAAUUGGGUUAAGGGUCUCUACUGGAAACCGUAAAUUUCUUACUACGAAAAAAUAUGCUUA
rnacentral:ncRNA from 1 species